rnacentral:rRNA from 1 species
GAUGAACGCUGGCGGCGUGCCUAAUACAUGCAAGUCGAACGCGAGCACUUGUGCUCGAGUGGCGAACGGGUGAGUAAUACAUAAGUAACCUGCCCUAGACAGGGGGAUAACUAUUGGAAACGAUAGCUAAGACCGCAUAGGUACGGACACUGCAUGGUGACCGUAUUAAAAGUGCCUCAAAGCACUGGUAGAGGAUGGGCUUAUGGCGCAUUAGCUGGUUGGCGGGGUAACGGCCCACCAAGGCGACGAUGCGUAGCCGACCUGAGAGGGUGACCGGCCACACUGGGACUGAGACACGGCCCAGACUCCUACGGGAGGCAGCAGUAGGGAAUUUUCGGCAAUGGGGGAAACCCUGACCGAGCAACGCCGCGUGAAGGAAGAAGGUUUUCGGAUUGUAAACUUCUGUUAUAAAGGAAGAACGGCGGCUACAGGAAAUGGUAGCCGAGUGACGGUACUUUAUUAGAAAGCCACGGCUAACUACGUGCCAGCAGCCGCGGUAAUACGUAGGUGGCAAGCGUUAUCCGGAAUUAUUGGGCGUAAAGAGGGAGCAGGCGGCAGCAAGGGUCUGUGGUGAAAGCCUGAAGCUUAACUUCAGUAAGCCAUAGAAACCAGGCAGCUAGAGUGCAGGAGAGGAUCGUGGAAUUCCAUAUGUAGCGGUGAAAUGCGUAGAUAUAUGGAGGAACACCAGUGGCGAAGGCGACGAUCUGGCCUGCAACUGACGCUCAGUCCCGAAAGCGUGGGGAGCAAAUAGGAUUAGAUACCCUAGUAGUCCACGCCGUAAACGAUGAGUACUAAGUGUUGGAUGUCAAAGUUCAGUGCUGCAGUUAACGCAAUAAG